rnacentral:rRNA from 1 species
UACGUAGGGGGCGAGCGUUGUCCGGAAUCAUUGGGCGUAAAGCGCGUGUAGGCGGCCCGGUAAGUCCGCUGUGAAAGUCCAGGGCUCAACCCUGGGAAGCCGGUGGAUACUGUCGGGCUCGAGUCCGGAAGAGGCGAGUGGAAUUCCUGGUGUAGCGGUGAAAUGCGCAGAUAUCAGGAGGAACACCAAUGGCGAAGGCAGCUCGCUGGGACGUGACUGACGCUGAGACGCGAAAGCGUGGGGAGCAAACAGG